rnacentral:rRNA from 1 species
GACGAACGCUGGCGGCGUGCCUAAUACAUGCAAGUAGAACGCUGAAGGAGGAGCUUGCUUCUCUGGAUGAGUUGCGAACGGGUGAGUAACGCGUAGGUAACCUGCCUGGUAGCGGGGGAUAACUAUUGGAAACGAUAGCUAAUACCGCAUAACAGUAGAUAUCGCAUGAUAUCUACUUGAAAGGUGCAAUUGCAUCACUACCAGAUGGACCUGCGUCGUAUUAGCUAGUUGGUGAGGUAACGGCUCACCAAGGCGACGAUACAUAGCCGACCUGAGAGGGUGAUCGGCCACACUGGGACUGAGACACGGCCCAGACUCCUACGGGAGGCAGCAGUAGGGAAUCUUCGGCAAUGGACGGAAGUCUGACCGAGCAACGCCGCGUGAGUGAAGAAGGGUUUCGGAUCGUAAAGCUCUGUUGUAAGAGAAGAACGAGUGUGAGAGUGGAAAGUUCACACUGUGACGGUAUCUUACCAGAAAGGGACGGCUAACUACGUG